rnacentral:rRNA from 1 species
UACGAAGGGGGCUAGCGUUGCUCGGAAUCACUGGGCGUAAAGCGCACGUAGGCGGAUUGCUAAGUCAGGGGUGAAAUCCUGGAGCUCAACUCCAGAACUGCCUUUGAUACUGGCGAUCUCGAGUCCGGGAGAGGUGAGUGGAACUGCGAGUGUAGAGGUGAAAUUCGUAGAUAUUCGCAAGAACACCAGUGGCGAAGGCGAGCUCUC